CACACACAUUAUAUACAUAUAUAUGUAUAUUUUAGAGAGAGAGGGUCUCCCUAAUACCCUGUUACCUAGGCUGGCCUCAAACUCCUUGGCUCAAGCAAUCAUCUUGCCUCAGCCUCCCAAGUAGCUGGGAUUACAGGCUUGAGCCACUAUGCCUGGCUUGAAUGUCUUUUUUUUUGAGACAGAGUCUUGCUCUGUCAUUCAGGCUGGAGCACAGUGGUGCAAUCUUUGCUCACCUCAACUGAUCCUCUUACUUAUUCCGCCUCUCAAAUAGCUGGGACUAUCGGCGUGCACUACCAUGCCUGGCUAAUUUUGUCUAUUUUUCAUAGAGACGAGGUCUCACUAUGUUGCCCAGGCUGGCCUUGAACUCCUGGCCUCAAGUAAUCCUCCUGCCUUAGCCUCCCAAAGUGCUGGGAUUAUAGGCAUGGAUCACCGUGCCCAACUUCAAUGUCUCUUUCUAUUUUUUUUUUUUUUUUUUUGAGGUGGAGUUUUGCUCUUAUUGCCCAGGCUGGAGUGCAAUGGUGUGAUCUCGGCUCAUUGAAACCUCUGCCUCCUGGGUUCAAGCAAUUCUCCUGCCUCAGCCUCCUGAGUAGCUGGGAUUACAGGUGCCUGCCACCAUGCUUGGCUCAUUUUUUUGUAUUUUUAGUAGAGAUGGAGUUUCACCAUGUUGGCCAGGCUGGUCUCGAACUCCUGACAUCAGGUGAUUCACCCGUCUCGGCCUCCCAAAGUGGUGGGAUUGCAGGCGUGAGCCACUGUGCCCGGCCUGAAUAUCUUUUAAUUGAAAUCUCUGCCUCCACCUGUCCUGUUCCAUCCAUUCCCCAUGUAGCAGCCAGAGUGAUUUUUUUUUUUUGAGACGGAGUUUCACUGUUGUUACCCAGACUGGAGUGCAAUGGCACGAUCUCGGCUCACCGCAACCUCCGCCUCCUGGGUUCAAGCAAUUCUCCUGCUUCAGCCUCCCGAGUAGCUGGGACUACAGGCGUGCACCACGAUGCCCAGCUAAUUUUUGUAUUUUUUAGUAGAGAGGGGGUUUCACCUUGUUGACCAGGAUGGCCUCGAUCAGCCAGAGUGAUUUUUUUUCCCCUCUGAAACACAAUUCAAAUUGCAUCACUCCUGGCUUAAAUCCUUUAAUAGCUUCCCAUUGUUCUUAAAAUAAAAUUUCCUUCAAGGUCUUGCUCUCUGAUGUCAUCUGAUAGACUCUCCUUCUAAAUCACUACUUUCUAGACAUAUUGUUCUCCUUUCUGUUCCUAGAGUAUGCCAAGCUCUUCCCUACCUCAAGGAAGGCCUUUACACCUGCCAUUCCCUUAGCCCUAAAGGUUUUUCCCGUUCUUGAACUUGAUUCCCUCAGCUCUUCACAUUUUGGAUCAUUAGCAACCUUCUUCUCUGUGCAAAUAUUAACUCUCUCCUCGGCCUCUCUUUCCCCAAUUUCUCCCUAUCUUAUCUAUCCUCUUUCUUUCCUAGCACUCAUCACAAUUUAUAAUUAUCUCCAUUUAUCUUCAUAUUGGCUUUCCCUCCUUUGUAGAAUCUAAACUUUAUGAAGGCAGGUACCUUGUUGUCAUAUUUAUUUUGCAAUAUAAGACAAUGCCUGGCCCAUGCAGGCACUCAAUGAAUAUUUGGUGAAAGAGUGAAUGAGAAGAAAAUAAAACAAACAACAGAAAAUUCUGAUUUGUUGGUCCCUUUGGGCCAACAGGAUAGGUUCAGAUCAGAUUGAAGGUGAUUCAAUAUCCUUCUCUUUGCCUUUGUCCUGUCAUAUUGGGGCUUGGAAGACCCCUCAUCAACACCCCAUAUCUUUUUUUUUAAAAUAAGAUGGGGUUUCACCAUGAUGGCCAGACUGGUCUUGAACUCCUGACCUCAGGUGAUCCACCCACCCUGGCCUCCCAAAGUGCUAGGAUUACAGGCAUGAGCCACCGCGCCCAGCCAACAUCCCAUAUCUAAGCGCUAGGAGAGGCUCAGGACUCUGGCUUUUCUUAAUAUCUUUGAUCUUGUCUUUGACCAAGAAAGGUAAAAGAGAGCAUCUAAUUUAUGGAUAAAAGUGAUUGGCCAUUCUCCCAAAACGGUGACUUGCUGUAGGGCUGAGGUGGAGUUCUAAGAAUCAUAGGAGGCCAGGUGCCACGGCUUACCCCUGUGAUCCCAACAUUUUGGGGAGCAAGCAGGGAGGAUCGCUUGAGCCUAGGAAUUUGAGACCAGCCUGGGCAACAUAUUGAGACCCUAUUUCUAUUUAAAACAACAACAACAAAAAAGAAUCAUAGGGCUUUGAACUGAAGGAAACCCUAGGGAUCAUGCUCAAACUUGGCUCUCCAUUAGAGUUGUCAGGAAGCUUUUUCUUCCCAUGCUAACAGUACUUUGUUAAGACAUAAUUUAUAUACAAUAAAAUGCACAAAGCACAAAUGUAAGUAUCCAGCUUAGUGAAUUUCCAUGUUUACAAACACCCAGGUAACUACCCACUGAGAUUUAGGUCUAGAACAUUCCUAUCAUUCCUGAAAGUUUCCUGUGCUCCUUUCUAGUCAGUACCCGUUUUCACUCCUUGGAUGUCACGUCUAUUCUGACUCCUACCACCAGAUCAGCUUUGCCACUUCCUAUACUUCAUACAAAUGGAGUGAUGCUGAAUGAAGUCUUUUGUGUCUGACUUCUUUUGCUCAACAUAAUAUUUUUGAGAUUGUAUUCAUUUUGUUGUGUGCAUGAGCAGUUUGUGUUUUUAAAUUGUGAAUUAGUGUCCUACUGUGAGUAUACCACACUUGUUUAUCCAUUCUUUUAGGAGGGCUUUUAUAAAACAUAAACCCUAAAGCCUACCCUAAGUAUCUGAAUCUCCAGGGAUGGAGUACAUAUAUAUGGAUAGAGAGAGAAAGAGAGAGAGAGGGACUCUUGCUGUGUUGCCCAGGCUAGAGUGCAGUGGUGUGAUCUCAGCUCACUGCAACCUUUCCCUCCCAGGUUCAAGUGGUUCUCGUGACUCAGCCUUCUGAGUAGCUGGGAUUAUAGGCAUGUACCACCAUGCCCAGCUAAUUUUUUGUAUUUUUAGUAGAGUUGGGGUUUCACCAUGUUGGCUGGUCAGGCUGGUCUCAAACUCCUGACUUCAGGUGAUCCACCCGCCUUGGCCUCCCAAAGUGCUGGGAUUACAGGCAGUAGUCACCAUGCCCGGCCUGGGAGAUAUAUUUUCAAUAAGCUUCCAGGUGAUUGUGAUGUACAGCCAUGUGUGAGAAACACUGAUUUAGUCCAUUCGUUCUGGCUCCAUAGAUAUGGAAACUGAGGCCAAGAGAGAAAGGGGUUUCCCAAAUAGAAACUUGAAUCAGUACAAGUCCAGACUUGAACCUCUUCCACUGUAUUGUUCUUUCCACUGAAGGGCAACUCAAACUACUAUUUAGUGCUGAAGGCAGGGGCAUGAGUAAUAACAGCUUCUAUUCAUUGAGUACUCGCUAUAUGCCAGGCUCUGCUCUAGGCACAUUAUGAACAUUUAAUCUUCUUAACAAGAAGAAGAAACCAAAACCCAGAGCAGAAGGCCACUGAAGCGGUGGAUGACAAGGAGAAGAUCCAAUCGCAGGUCCGCUUAACAUCAGAUCCACACAAGAAGGUUGAUACCUUUUCUUGAAGUGAAAAGGAAGAAAACCACAAACUUCUUGGUUUGCUGGCCUACCCCAGUCCAAUUUGGGAUGGUAGAAAUUAAAAAAAAAACCACCACAAAAUAGUAUUUACCCCACUUCUUAAGCCCUGGUUUUAGAAUUCCUUCUGUUGUGUACACACAGUGCUUCACUAGUGAAAGCUGUUGACCAACUGACCAAAAAUGUUCUCUGAAUGUUCUUGGCACCAAAAGAAAAGAAAUAAAUAAAAACGUACCAGCUAAGGGGAGGGGGAUCUGUUUGCUUAAUCAAUAGGUCUGCCUCCUCUACUAACAAGUCUCCUCCCAGGCAUGGGGCCUGCAAAUGCUGCCAGUGGGGCUGUCAGGGAUCAGUCUCCACAUCUGGAAAGCAAGCUCUCAAAGUGGAAAGAGCCCUAACUCUUUCAUCAGGGAGUAAACUGACCCUAGCAGUCAGGGACUGGAAUGAGUCACACACACAUUUGCUAGUUAAGAUGCUAAAUCUGGCCGGGCGCGGUGGCUCAUGCCUGUAAUCCCAGCACUUUGGGAGGCCGAGGUGGGUGGAUCACGAGGUCAAGAGAUUGAGACAAUCCUGGUCAACAUGGUGAAACCCCGUCUCUACUAAAAAUACAAAAAAUUAGCUGGGCAUGGUGGCUCGUGCCUGUAAUCCCAGCUACUCAGGAGGCUGAGGCAGGAGAAUUGCCUGAACCCAGGAGGCGGAGGUUGCCGUGAGCCGAGAUCGCGCCAUUGCACUCCAGCCUGGGUAACAAGAGCGAAACUCCGUCUCAAAACAAAAAAAAAAAAAAAAAGAAAGAAAAGGAGAGUUUGCAAUAGAUGGAAUUUUGGUUGUCUGUUUCAACUUUAAUAAAUAUGAAGUGAAACAAUGUUACACAUGCAGACUGAACCCCAAAUCCUAAGCCCUGAGUCCUCUUCCCAACUAGGCCUAGGCCUUGGCUCCCAGUCUUGUCUUUGGCCUGCCUAGCCCAGUGUUAGCAAGAAUCUUGGUGUCAGUUUAGUGAGAAUCCCUCUACCUUGAUAACUAAUUAAGCUCCUCAUCUCCUGCCUUUGAUGUACAGUACAAGUCCCUGCUUGGCCUGCCUUUAGGAAGACUUUCCCUACCCUUGAUGGCUCCUCUUAGCAAUUUUCCAUCCCUUGACGCCUUCACUUAGCUCUGGCUACAAAUCCCCAGUUACCUUUGCCAUAUUCAGAGUUGAACACAAUCUUUCUCCCCUUUUUCAAUAUCUUAUUGAAAUAGCUUUGAAUAAAGUCUUCCUUAGUAUUUAAACAAGAAUCAGGGCCAGGCAUGGUGGCUCACUCCCAGCACUCUGGGAGGCUGAGGCAGGUGGUCACUUGAGGUCAGGAGACCAGCCUGGUCAACAUGGCAAAACCCCAUCUCCAGGCACCCCUUUGUAGUCCCAGCUACUCGGGGGGCAGAGGCAGGAGAAUCACUUGAACCCGGAAAGCAGAGAUUGUAGUGAGUUGAGAUUGCAACACUGAACUCCAGCCUGGGCAAUAGAGAGCAGUGGAAACGGAGCCAGCGGGGCCUGUGUGGCCACUUGGGUUUGUGAAAUGGCUGCUGACAUUUCUGAAUCCAGUAGGGUUGACUGUAAAGGGGACCCAAGGAACAGUGCCAAGUUAGAUGCUGAUUACCCACUUCAAGUCCUUUAUUGUGGAGUUUGUUCAUUACCAACAGAGUACUGUGAAUAUAUGCCUGAUGUUGCUAAAUGUAGACAAUAGGCAGAGAAGACUUUUCCAAAUGAAUUUGCAAAACUUACUGUAGAAAAUUCACCCAAACAAGGAAUUAGUGAGGGUCAAGGAACAGUAUGGGAAGAAGAAGAGAAGAAAAAACAGGAGAGGUGGACGGAGUAAAAUAAAACAAAAAAAGACUAUACCACAAAAGGUUACUACAGCCAAAAUUCCCAGAGCAAAGAAGAAAUAGGAGUGUGUGGCCUUGGAACUUUUGAAAUUGAUCUUAAACAAGCACAAAGAUUUUUUGCUCAAAAAUUCUCCUGUGGUGCCUCAGUAAUAGUGGAGGAUGAAAUUAUCAUUCAGGGAGACUUUACAGAUGAUAUAAUUGAUGUCAUUCAGGAAAAAUGGCCAGGGGUAGAUGAUGAUAGCAUCAAAGAUCUUGGAGAAGUAAAGAACUGAAUUUGAGGCAGGAGAAUUGCCUGAACCCAGGAGGCGGAGGUUGUGGUGAGCCGAGAUCGUGCCAUUGCACUCCAGCCUGGGUAACAAGAGAGAAACUCUGUCUCAAAAAAAAAAAAAAAAAAAAAAAGAACUGAAUUUGAAAAUUUGUCGUAUUUAAUGGCCUGAACUGAAAGUUGAUAUGGCCAAAGGGAGAGAGAAGCCUUUUAAGAAAUAUAUAAUUGGAAACAGAUGCUUGGUGCUGUAAAGAAAAAUUAGUAUUGAGACAAAGGAUCUCUCAGCAAGGCGAUUUUUACUUCCUUCAGGAAGGGUACUCUCACCAGCCAUCUUGCCACGAGAGUACAAUGAACAUAGGAAAAGCAGACAUAUUUAUCUUUUAUGCAUUUGGGGUUGUCUUUACUAUUGUGUCUGAUCUCCAUUGGUUGGAACUAGACUUCACAAUCUAAACUAAAACCUGAUUGGCUAAUAACUUAAAGCUUUUCUAAACAGGUAAAUGCAAUGGAGAACAAAAGGAAAGUCUAAAUAGGAAAGAGCAUAGGCUGUGAGCUGGGACAUGCCUGUGAGCAUGUCCAGCACAGAUAUCUUGGUUAUAAGUACAAUGACAUAGGAUGUACUACAUGCCUAGAAGCAUGUCUAACAGCUACAUAGAAGAGUUAUUAGCAAAAAGCAAGAAGGCUUUGAAGAAAGUUUUUAAAACUAUUAUUUCUAAUACUUAUGAAGCUUUGAACAGAACCGUUUCUACUUCCUACUAUUAUAUAUAUAUAUACUUUAUUUAUUCUACAGUAAAACUGUAGACUGCCCUCAUACUUGGCAUUUUCUCUAUUCUGUACAAGGCUUUUUUUAAUCACAAAAGUCAAAUAAAUAGGGGAGACUGUCAUGCUCAUGCAUGAACAGAAUUUAGUCAAAUAAAAAAUUUUGGUCAUUUGGUACUGCCUUUCUCUCUUUUUUCUUUUUUGAGAUGGAGUCUCACACUGUCACUCAGGCUAUAGUGCAAUGGUGUGAUCUCAGCUUACUGCAACCUCUGCCUCUCAGGUUCAAGCAAUUCUCCUGCCUCAGCCUCUUGAGUAGCUGCAAUUACAGGCACCCAUCACCACACCCAGCUAAUUUUGUGUAUUUUUAGAGAUGGGGUUUCACCAUGUUGGUCAGGCUGGUCUUGAACUCCUAGCCUCAUGAUUCACCUGUCUUGGCCUCCCAAAGUGUUGGGAUUACAGCUGCGAACCACCACGCCUGGCCUGACUUUCUCUCUUUUUAACUUUAUUUUUUGAAAAAUCCAGUAGACUUCUUGUGGUGAGCAUUUUUGUUACUUUACUGAUCUAAAGCUGAGUGAUUUUUUUAAAAAAGAAUUUGAAUUUGGCUUCUUCACCGGUAAUAUGCCUCCUUGCUUCUUUGAUGUGACAGUUUUGAGAUGGGUGAGAAUCUAAUAGAUUUGUAGUUAAAUUUGCUUUGUUGCUGCGAAGUCCACACUAUAGGCACAAUAACAUACUGUUGGUAGGAGUUGUUUGAGCUAUUUUGGAGAUUAUUUGGUAAAGCAUACCAAAUAAUAAUGUGCACUGUUUGAACCAGUAAACCACUUCUUUGACAUUAAAAAACAUUAGAAGAAAUAAUCAGUCUUGCAUAAAACUUAUGUAUGAAAGUAUUCAUCACAGUAUUAUUUAUAAUAAAAAAUUAUAAAUGUUAUAAAUGAGCAAUUGAAAAAUGGUCAAAGAAGUGAUUGUGUGGUAAAAUAUUAUGCAUAUGUUUAAAUAAUCAUAUUUUCUAAGCUUACUUGGAAACAUGUUGGUAAUGUCAGGUGGGAGCACCCCAGAUAUAUUUUAGACAUUUAUCAUGAUCAUUGUUCUGAGUGAAAGCCAUUCAGAGAGGCUAGAGGUUCUUAUUCUGGCUAUAAAUUAUGUGAGUAAGAUUCUGCUAACCAAUUACAAAUAAUGAACACCUAUGCUCAAUACAUAGUCCUGGAAAUAGCAAUUGAAACACGUCUUCUCACAAGAGAAAAUGACAGUUUUAAUGAUGCAUUAGAUGAAUUUAAACUUUAACUCAGGUGAUACAAAUUGGAAAGAAGACAUGUGGUGUUUUAAAUCGCUGUGGACACUUUUAAGAAACUUAGAACCAUGCAGCAAACCACCAUGGUACCUGUAUAGCGAUAACAAACCUGUAUGUUCUGCACAUGUACCCCAGAACUUAAAGUAUAAAAGAAAGUUUAGUGAUUAAAAUCUUAGGUUUAGUCAUGUAAACUAUCACAUUUCAAUAGUUUAUUCCUUCUUUUCUAAUUUUUAUUCUUCACAUUUUUUAUAAUUAUUAUAUUGCGGAAUCUCUCCAGUAUAGUAAAAUGUUUAACAGUCAAAAUGUUUUGUCUUCCUAACUUUAAUGGGAAUGUUGCAAUAUCAUAUGUACUAUUUGUUGUUCCAUUAUUGAUAAAGAGUCUUAAUCAAGUUUAGGAAUUUACUUUAUUAGUUCUUAGGCUGCUGGCUUAUUUUUUAAAUGACUGAUCUCUGAAUAUCAUUAAAUGUGUCUACAUUUAUUUGGGGAAAAAAAAGAAACUUAGAACUCAUGAAACCAUUAUUUAUUGCCAAGCAAAUUACAAUAUUGAAUGAGUGUUUUUUAAAAAAUAAAGUAUUAGGUCCAGGUGCAGUGACUCAUGCCUGUAAUCCUAGCACUUUGAGAGGCCGAGGUGGACAGAUCACCUGAGGUCAGGCAUUUGAGACUAGCCUGACCAACAUGGAGAAACCCCAUCUUUACUAAAAAUACAAAAUUAGCUGGGUAUGGUGGUGGAUGCCUGUAAUCCCAGCUACCUGGGAGGCUGAGGCAGGAUAAUUAUUUGAACCUGAGAGGUGGAGGUUGCGGUGAGCCGACAUCGUGCCAUUUUACUCCAGCCUGGGCAGCAAGAGUGAAACUCCAUCACAAAAUAAAUAAACAAAUAAAUAAAGUAUUAGAAAAAUAUGUAAUAAAGAUGUAAAAUUAAAAGUUAAAUUCUGCAUUAACUGUGAAUUUUACUAAAUAGAAUUACUAGUGAAGCAGACUUACCCAUCGAGACUAUCUGGUAUGCAUUACAUAUGUAUUCUUUUGGUGCUGGAAGAUGUCUGUGUGCCUGUAUCAACAUGUGACUUCAUGUAAAGUUUAUUCACAUUCACAGUUCUUACCAAAUGCAGUUUCAAUCCAUAGAUAGUCAGCAGUGAAUGUUACUAUAGGAAAAUGCAGGAUUAAAAUUGUCCUUGU